AUUGAACGCUGGCGGCAGGCCUAACACAUGCAAGUCGAGCGACCGGCGGCCGGGUGAGUAAUGUAUGGGGAUCUGCCUGAUGGAGGGGGAUAACUACUGGAAACGUUAGCUAAUACCGCAUACAAUCGGUUGAACCCAUAUGGGAUUAGCUUGUAGGUGGGGUAACGGUGCACCUAGGCGACGAUCCCUAGCUGGUCUGAGAGGAUGAUCAGCCACACUGGGACUGAGACACGGCCAAGACUCCUACGGGAGGCAGCAUGGGGGAAUAUGGCACAAUGGGCGCAAGCCUGAUGCAGCCAUGCCGCGUGUAUGAAGAAGGCCUUCGGGUUGUAAAGUACUUUCAGUCGGGAGGCGUUACCGACAGAAGAAGCACCGGCUAACUCCGUGCCAGCCGCCGCGGUAAUUC
rnacentral:rRNA from 1 species